CCUACGGGAGGCAGCAGUGGGGAAUAUUGCACAAUGGGGGAAACUCUGAUGCAGCGACGCCGCGUGAGUGAAGAAGUUUUUAGGUAUGUAAAGCUCUAUUAGUAGGGAAGAAAAAGACGGUACCUGAUUAUGAAGCCCCGGCUAACUACGUGCCAGCAGCCGCGGUAAUACGUAGGGGGCAAGCGUUAUCCGGAUUUACUGGGUGUAAAGGGGGCGUAGGCGGCAGCACAAGUCUGGAGUGAAAUGCCGGGGCUUAACCCCGGAACUGCUUUGGAAACUGUGCAGCUAGAGUGCAGGAGAGGUAAGUGGAAUUCCUAGUGUAGCGGUGAAAUGCGUAGAUAUUAGGAGGAACACCAGUGGCGAAGGCGGCUUACUGGACUGUAACUGACGUUGAGGCUCGAAAGCGUGGGGAGCAAACAGGAUUAGAUACCCCGGUAGUC
rnacentral:rRNA from 1 species